rnacentral:rRNA from 1 species
GAUGAACGCUGGCGGCGUGCCUAAUACAUGCAAGUCGAGCGAACAGAUGAGAAGCUUGCUUCUCUGAUGUUAGCGGCGGACGGGUGAGUAACACGUGAGUAACCUACCUAUAAGACUGGGAUAACUCCGGGAAACCGGGGCUAAUACCGGAUAAUAUUUUGAACCGCAUGGUUCAAUAGUGAAAGACGGUUUCGGCUGUCACUUAUAGAUGGACCCGCGCCGUAUUAGCUAGUUGGUAAGGUAACGGCUUACCAAGGCGACGAUACGUAGCCGACCUGAGAGGGUGAUCGCCCUCACUGGAUUGGUGACACCGUCCAGCCUCUGCCGGGAGGCAGCAGUAGGGAAUCUUCCGCAAUGGGCGAAAGCCUGACGGAGCAACGCCGCGUGAGUGAUGAAGGUCUUCGGAUCGUAAAACUCUGUUGUUAGGGAAGAACAAAUUUGUUAGUAACUGAACAAGUCUUGACGGUACCUAACCAGAAAGCCACGGCUAACUACGUGCCAGCAGCCGCCGUAA